AUAAUUUGGAUGUUAUCUCAAAACAGUUAACAGUGUGUUUAUCCACAUUUCUAGCCCUGCCCUAUGCCCACUCACUUAAACUAAGAUAUACAAGUACAUUCCCGUAGGAUAAAAUAGACCACAAAUUGAAUGAAUCUAGUUGUCUUACCUUGCAAAUAAACAUCACUUUAAAACUCCUGAUGUAGAUAAUUUUCACAUUUUCAUUAUCAGGUUAGAUGUCCUCUGGGUUAAAGCUUAUUAUAGGCUGAUUAAUCAAUCUUUAUUUAAGAAUCAUCGCAUGUAUUAUGACUCAAAGUUGUAUGUACUGCAGUCCUUUCUUCGUGCCUUAAUUUCCUUUCCUGACACUCUAAUCUACCCAAUCACAAUCCAGGAACCUCCCUUUCUUACUAGCUUCUCUUUUCAAUCAGUUGUCCAUUCUAACCGAAAGCUUUGUCUCCUGUGAGUACCCUCCAUCUGAAUCCAGAAACCAGACAUUGUCAUCUUUAACAUCUACAAAUCCAAUGUGUGAGUAGAGAUGUUAAGAUGGUACAUGACAAUGUAAAGGCCACUGGUAGUCCUUCCCAACAAAGGUUUUAGCUUGGGGGGUUUCUCUGUUUGUUUGAGAAAGGUUCUUACCAUGUAGCUCUUGCUGAUCUGGAACUCACUAUGUAAUCCAGGCUGGCCUCGAAUUCACAGAUUCCUGUCCACCUCUGCUGGGUACCACUACACCCAGCUGUACAAGGUUCUUAUGAGCAGGGACACACACUGGUCUUCACAAGUCAUUUGUUUUUCACAGUGUUCUCUUCUCACCUGGUUGAAGCUGGUGUUUAUUCCCAUAUUUAAUCAGGGAGACAAUGCCCUAAGUAGGCAUUUUAAGCUACCAAGUAAAACCUGCAGUGCUAGGACUAAGUUGCAUGUUGUGGAGCCGUUGUCGAAAGGAGUCCCAUAGACGACCCCCAAAGGUCAGAACCUACUGCUACUUAGUUUUUACACUCCACAACCUGAUGGCGAGGUCCUAUUGUUGAACACGCCACUUAUUUAUGUUAUCAAACAUGAGGAAGUCGAGCUUGUCCCUAACUAAAAGCUCCAGUGACAUUCCUGGUACAGAGAGGUAUUACCAGAGGAAAAGAAGUCAGCAUCGAUAUGAGCCAUCUACAAACCCUGCAGCCUACAGCAACCUGACUGCAACAUGUGCUGGUACAAUGGUGGCAUGCAUGUUGUGGGAGACACCACCCACUUUUGGAUUGGCUUUAAGGCUCGUGAGAUGAAAUCUAUAAAACGACACUGCUAAAGUGACCAAGAACCUGAGACUAGAGAGGUCAUGGUCUCCAAGGAAAAACUUAACCACUACUAUUAAGAUAUUAAAGAAACAUAGCCAUAAAAUGAUUCCUAGUGACAUAUUGCUAUGCCCGUAGAUCUCUCAUCAGAGUAGCUUCUUCUUUCAGUGGAUGGUAAUUAAAACAGAGACUCACACCUGGAAAAUGUGCAGAGCACUCAGCCUCAAAGGAGAGUCUUUAUUAAACCCCUUCCUUCAAGGUUCAGGAUUCUAUGCAAAAAAAGAAGGCAGAAAGAGUAUACAGAUGACUUCAACAAAUUAGCAUCUUCCAGACACAGCAGGACUGAUACUCCUAUAAAUCCCAUACUAUGACAGCACACACAACACUAGCACAGGUUCACAAAGUCAGUGAACAAGUCUCACCCCAACCAAGGAGCUAUUUGCAACUGAUUCCUGCUGGGAAAGGGAAGACCAGAUUUCUCCAGUGGAGGGUCACUGAAUCUAUCAACGACACUCUAGGGCAGGUCACAGGCCCAGGAGGAGUUGGCCACCACAAAAGAGGUAUGAUGAUGUCAGAACAUGGUCCAGGAAAGGAGUCAUAUGAAUUCUGAGUGCUUGUGAGAACAUUCUAGGAAUGCAAGUGCUUUAUGACCUCAGUUUCUUCAAAACAUGGAAUUAUUCUUGGAUGAUGUUUCCGUGCUCCUCCUGGGUGUAGGGAAUAGGAGUGAGUUUAUUUCAGAUUACUCAUUAUUGCUGGCUGCUGUUACUCUGCUUAUCAAAUGCCUCUAUGGAAAAAGAUGGUUUUACUACCUGCAGCCUGCCCCGGUGAUUGUAUGCAGUGUGAACUCCUGAGAACUUUGAGAACUUUACUCAGGUGAUCUUUCUUAACCGUCAGAGUAUAAAUUGUCUGAUGCUCUAAAUAGAGUUGACUACUACAUGAGACUUCAGUCCAUCUCAUGUGUAGGCCUCACUCUCCAAGCUCCCACUGCCCUGUGGCUCUGUUGUGGACUUUGUGUUGUUUUGUUUUGUUGUUUUUGUCUUAUCACUUUUUGUUUUGUUGUUGUUGUUUGUUUCUAUUUCCAUUUUUUUAAUUUUUGAGUUUUUGUCUGUUUUUGUUUUUGUUUUGUUUAGAGAGGGAACUAGGAAAAAA
rnacentral:lncRNA from 1 species